UUCAGUGAAAUCAGAGACCGUGCCGGUGAACACGGACUCUGGCCCUUAAAGCUGCUACAUCUGGUCCCUGUUUAAAGUGUCCUGUAACCAUGCCAAUCAGGAAUUAAGGACAGGGACUGUG